CUCGAUCUUUCACUGGAUCUCCUGACCCUGUGACAUCGUCUGUGGCAAGGAGCCCGUUGGAGGAUGAAAUAGGAUCUGGAUAAAUGUCCUAGCUGCUGACAUCAGUGAUGAAAUAAUAAUGCCCCUGCAGCCGCCCUUCUGUGGCAUAAUGACCCAAGCACUGCUAAGCCUCGCAGUAUCUGUUUCCUCCUUUUUAAAGCACCGCCUAUGGAAAUCAAGUGACUGAGAGAAUUUUAGCUCCUCUUAGGAAGCGUAAAUAAGCCCUACAGAACGGAAGAGGAACUCUGAAACAGGAACUUAAACAUUCAUGCCAGAAGGAAGCAGAUGGAGACGGAGGAGAAGGCUUCCUGGAAAGGGCUGCCUGGAGGCUCACCUGUGCUGCAAGAGGUGGAAGGGCUGCAUCCUCUCUGGAGCCAAAGCGUUUCUCUCCCUUGGAUGGAGCUGCCAGAGGCUUCAUGGCAUUCCUUGGACACCAGAAAUUGGGCAUCAGUGCUCUGCCUGAUCCUGCCUCAUGAUGCAGCAACCCAGAUGGUGACACUGCAGCAGAGCCCUCCCAGUCAAAGCAUGGUCACAGGAGCUCAGGUAACAUCUCUGGAAUGACAUCUACAGUGAAAAAAAAAAAAGAUUUUUAAGCUUUUGUUGUAAAGGACUGCCUGACAGGAUGGGGAAGUGGGGACAUCCAGAAGUUUGAAAUGGCAGCUUAUAUAAUGUGAGUAUGUGACCAUUUCCAGGAGCAGCAGAGUAGAGAUGGUACUGGAGCUACAGGCAUCUUCUUAUGAAAGCCGUCCUGGAGAUGCAUUUGCCCCUGCUAACCCUUCAUAGUGAAGUUCAAGUGGAAAACAGCAGAAAGGGAGAGGAGCGUUUGCCCUCUGGACAUCCACAACACUGAAGCAAAAACAUGAAACAAAGGAAUUUUGCCUGAGAUGUGGUGAAUUUGGCAUUUUAUUUGCUACUUGUGUACUUUACAAUUCUUACGUUUUCUCAAACGAAUUCCAUGUUUCUUCACUCCAUGACAGCAGAUUUGUAUACCCACCUCAAGAAAGGAAGUGCUGCCUCAGCAGGACGUAAAGGAAUAUGUAACCUUCUCAAGAUUUGUUGUGUGGGUUCAAGCUUGUGCGGCUGAUAAUUUUAAAAGGAACAUUUAAUAACUGAAGCCAACUCCUGCAGCCAACAGCACCUUGCAGAAUGAUCAUGCAUGUGUUAUUAGAGAGCACUUGUACUAGGGAGCACAUGCAGACACCAGUGAGGUUGGGCCCCUUGGUGGGGGCUACAUGGGACUGGGGACCCCUGUCCCUCAGGCCUGGAAAACUGAAAAGCAGGACAGAAGAGUAAGACAAAUGGGGCAUGGUAGGGAGGGAAGGUAACUGAAAUAGGAAGUUUUAAUACUAGGGAAUUAAAUUCAUUGAGAACCUGUUUCAGAGAGGUUGGACUGAUUUCUAGAAUCAUGCUGAAUUUGACAAGUAGUUUGGAAGACAGACAACAGGGUGGUAUUUUGAAACACCAGACCUUUUCCCCUGGAUAGCUGCAAGUGGAAGGUUUUGGCUUUUCAUGUUCAUUUAAAACAGGCAUGAUAAAAAGCCAUAUUUGCAGGGGCUAAAGAACAUGAAAACCAAAGGAAACCUUGGAUUUUGGACUGAGUGAAAAGGAGUUUCUGCCCCGCCAUUUGCGAAAACAUUUUUUUUCAGUCUGAAACUACCUCUCCCCGUCUUUCUUUGCCCCCUGAUUUCCCAGUGGCCCACUCACCGACCCCUCUUCCUCCUCUCCACAGCCUCUUGGCUCCACUUAGCACAGGCUGGUGAUGGCACUUUCACGCACAGAGGAGGGGCAGCAGUCACAGGUUGGUGUGAACAGUGUGCUUCAUGCCUACCUCCAGAUGUCUAAAAGCUAGGCAUGUAGCAUGAGCUCAUCGCUCUAGACUCCUUCUGCGGCCCCUAAAGAGAGACAAACUUCUCCAGGGAGUGUUUCCUCCUCCCUCUCCUUGAAACUCCCUCUGGUCAUGAUGGGGAACCCUCUGGACAUGCCACAUGUCCCCAUGGGCUACAGAGGGGAGCGUAGAGGCCUUUGGGAGGCUACAGUCAGAUGGUGCAUCCCUCCCUGGAUUAAGACUGCUGAAGUGGCAGUAGGCAGGAGAUAAGAUGCCUGAAGGGAAGAAAACUGAGGAAAAGUGAAGUGAUGGAUUAACAGAGCUUUUACUCAUGGUGUUCAUGUGCUUUUGGAGCACAGUGACUGAAGCUGAUUUUGCUGGUACAAUUUUGAGGUUUAGGGGUGUCACCAAGGAAGAUAGAUCAGAGGGGUGAGCCUAGGGCUGGGCUGGGGAGAUGCUGAGAGCAUAGGUGGAGGCCGUAUGAACAGCAAGAGGCUCCAAGGCUGAGGGGCUUUUUUACUUUUACUAUUCAUUUCUCAGUUUUCAAUCCUUGCUCAGGAAAAAAAAGCAGCCAUGGGAUUCAACUUAAUAAGACUCAUUGGGCACUUUGUAUUAGUAAAGGAUUAAAGCUUUUUCACCAGGCAGACUGCAGUGGGCAGAUAAGAGCCUGGCUCAGGAGGUGACGGUGCCCUCUUCUUAAAGUAAAAGGCCAGAGCUUUGCAGAUCUCUGAGCACUUUGUUCCCACUGCAGGUGCAUUGACCCAUCACUCACAGUCCAACACCAGCCAUUAGUCUUCUGACUUGUGCACCGACUGUGGGCAAAGGAACUGUGCUAAGGAUCGGGCUGGGAUGUAAAAGCUUAACAGCUUCCCCCCAGACCUAUGGCUGAAGAAUUUAGCCGUAGGUAAUUUAGUUUAGUUGUGGAAAUCCAGAACUAGGAAAGUCUAAAGUCCAGCUGUUCCCUUUCUUUAGCCUGGGAGUCAUGUGCUACGUUUUGUAGGGUUGAGGGGAAAAUUUCACCUGGGUGCCUAUCCCCUGCCUUGCCAAUAUACCUUUCUUUCAUUUGUGGGUGAUUUGGAAGUGGAGAUUUACUUUACUUCCAGUCCAAGAGGAAAGCAGUAUAGAGAUAAAUGAGCUCUGUAGCCUUGUAAUAAUAAUAAACUAGAAACUCCCCCCGCCA
ensembl:lncRNA